rnacentral:rRNA from 1 species
AAGUCGUACGGAGAGUGGGGCAACUCACUCUCAGUGGCAAACGGGUGAGUAACGCGUGAAUAACCUGCCUUUGAGAAUGAGAAGGGGAUAACUGUGCGAAAGGAUAGCUAAUACCCUAUAUUGCCUUUUGUCACUAAGGCAAAAGGUGAAAGCGAGGCUGUCAAAGGCUUCGGCUCAAAGAGGGGUUCGCGUCCUAUCAGGUAGUUGGUGGGGUAAUGGCCUACCAAGCCAAUGACGGGUAGCUGGUCUUAGAGGAUGAUCAGCCACAGCGGGACUGAGACACGGCCCGCACCCCUACGGGGGGCAGCAGUGGGGAAUCGUGGGCAAUGGGCGCAAGCCUGACCCCGCAAUGCCGCGUGAGGGAAGAAGCCCUUCGGGGUGUAAACCUCUGUCAGAUGGGAAGAU